CGUGUAGGCGGCUAGACAAGUCAGAUGUGAAAUCCCUGGGCUUAACCCAGGAAGUGCAUUUGAAACUGUCUUGCUUGAGUAAGGGAGAGGAAAGUGGAAUUCCUGGUGUAGAGGUGAAAUUCGUAGAUAUCAGGGGGAACACCGGUGGCGAAGGCGACUUUCUGGCCCUAUACUGACGCUGAGACGCGAAAGCGUGGGUAGCAAACA
rnacentral:rRNA from 1 species